rnacentral:rRNA from 1 species
UACGAAGGGGGCGAGCGUUGUUCGGAUUUACUGGGCGUAAAGGGCGCGCAGGCGGUCUUGUAAGUCAGGCGUGAAAGCCCCGGGCUUAACCUGGGAACUGCGCUUGAUACCCUGAGACUGGAGUACGGGAGAGGAGAGUGGAAUUCCCAGUGUAGAGGUGAAAUUCGUAGAUAUUGGGAAGAACACCAGUGGCGAAGGCGACUCUCUGGACCGUAACUGACGCUGAGGCGCGAAAGCGUGGGGAGCAAACAGG